CCUAGGGGGGCUGCAGUGGGGAAUAUUGGACAAUGGGGGGAACCCUGAUCCAGCCAUGCCGCGCGUGUGAAGAAGGCCCUCGGGUUGUAAAGCACUUUCAGUGAGGAAGAACGCCUGGUGGUUAAUACCCAUCAGGAAAGACAUCACUCACAGAAGAAGCACCGGCUAACUCCGUGCCAGCAGCCGCGGUAAUACGGAGGGUGCGAGCGUUAAUCGGAAUUACUGGGCGUAAAGCGCGCGUAGGUGGCUUGAUAAGCCGGUUGUGAAAGCCCCGGGCUCAACCUGGGAACGGCAUCCGGAACUGUCAAGCUAGAGUGCAGGAGAGGAAGGUAGAAUUCCCGGUGUAGCGGUGAAAUGCGUAGAGAUCGGGAGGAAUACCAGUGGCGAAGGCGGCCUUCUGGACUGACACUGACACUGAGGUGCGAAAGCGUGGGUAGCAAACAGGAUUAGAUACCCCUGUAGUC
rnacentral:rRNA from 1 species